AUUGAACGUUGGCGGCAGGCCUAAUACAUGCAAGUCGAACGGCAGCACAGAGAGCUUGCUCUUGGGUGGCGAGUGGCGGACGGGUGAGUAACGCGUAGGAAUCUACCCAGUAGCGGGGGAUAGCCCGGGGAAACUCGGAUUAAUACCGCAUACGCCCCACGGGGGAAAGGCCGGGAUCUUCGGACCGGUCACUAUUGGAGGAGCCUGCGUUGGAUUAGCUUGUUGGUGGGGUAAAGGCCUACCAAGGCUACGAUCCAUAGCUGGUCUGAGAGGACGAUCAGCCACACUGGAACUGAGACACGGUCCAGACUCCUACGGGAGGCAGCAGUAGGGAAUACUUGUGCAAUGGGCGAAAGCCUGACACAGCCAUGCCGCGUGUGUGAAGAAGGCCCUAGGGUUGUAAAGCACUUUCAGUAGGAGGAUUAGUAGGGUUAAUAUCCGGUUGCCUUGACGUUACCUACAGAAGAAGCACCGGCUAACUCUGUGCCAGCAGCCGCGGUAAAGU
rnacentral:rRNA from 1 species